rnacentral:sRNA from 1 species
GGCGGUGAGGCAGGUACGCGGCAAGCGGCGGGGAUGGCUAGGCGCCCGCGUCUUUGCGGAAACUGAUGCGCGCCCAGGCUGAAGCGCUAGGACGCUGCCGGAGCAGGUGCCGGGGCCCGGGGAUCUGGCCCGUGGAUACUUUGGUCAGUGACCACAUCGCAGCAUGUUGAGUCAAGUUUACCGCUAUGGGUUCCAGCCCUUCAACCAACAUCUCCUGCCCUGGGUCCAGUGUACAACCAUCUCCAGAUCUCAUUGUAUCCAGCCUUCAGUCAUCAGACAUGUUCGUUCUUGGAGCAACAUCCCCUUUAUCACUGUACCCCUCAGUCGUACACAUGGCAAGUCCUUUGCCCACCGCAGUGAGCUGAAGCAUGCCAAGAGAAUCGUGGUGAAGCUCGGCAGUGCCGUGGUGACCCGAGGGGAUGAAUGUGGCCUGGCCCUGGGGCGCUUGGCAUCUAUUGUUGAGCAGGUAUCAGUGCUGCAGAAUCAGGGCAGAGAGAUGAUGCUGGUGACCAGUGGAGCCGUAGCCUUUGGCAAACAACGCUUGCGCCAUGAGAUCCUUCUGUCUCAGAGCGUGCGGCAGGCCCUCCACUCAGGGCAGAACCAGCUGAAAGAAAUGGCAAUUCCAGUCUUAGAGGCACGAGCCUGUGCAGCUGCCGGACAGAGUGGGCUGAUGGCCUUGUAUGAGGCUAUGUUUACCCAGUACAGCAUCUGUGCUGCCCAG